rnacentral:rRNA from 1 species
AUUGAACGCUGGCGGCAGGCUUAACACAUGCAAGUCGAGCGAGCGGCGGACGGGUGAGUAAUGUCUGGGAAACUGCCUGCUGGAGGGGGAUAACUACUGGAAACGGUAGCUCAUACCGCAUACCAUCAGAUGUGCCCAGAUGGGAUUAGCUAGUAGGUGGGGUAAUGGCUCACCUAGGCGACGAUCCCUAGCUGGUCUGAGAGGAUGACAGGCCAAACUGGAACUGAAACACGGUCCAGACUCCUACGGGAGGCAGCAGUGGGGAAUAUUGCACAAUGGGCGCAAGCCUGAUGCAGCCAUGCCGCGUGUGUGAAGAAGGCCUGCGGGUUGUAAAGCACUUUCAGCGAGGAGGCGUUACUCGCAGAAGAGGCACAGGAUCACUCAGUGCCAGCAGCCGCGGUAAUU